UACGUAGGGGGCGAGCGUUGUCCGGAGUACUGGGCGUAAAGCGCACGCAGGCGGUCUGCUAAGUUUGGAGUGACAGUUGGUGGCUUAACUGCCAAAGUGCUUCGAAAACUGACAGACUUGAGGGCUUCAGAGGGACACGGAAUUCCGGGUGGAGUGGUGAAAUGCGUAGAGAUCGGGAGGAACACCAGUGGCGAAGGCGGCUACCUGGACCAGCACUGACACUGAAGCACGAAAGCGUGGGGAGCAAACAGG
rnacentral:rRNA from 1 species